rnacentral:lncRNA from 1 species
CAGUGUCUGCCAAGUAAGCCAGACUUCCAUUCAAGAACAGCCAAAUACAUGUUAUUUAAAAAUAUACAUAAGGGUGAUGUCAGCCUCAUGACAGAAUGAGCUCUUCCCUUAGACUCUUCUCCCUAGGAAAUAAUGAAAAGGAAAUUCAUAAACCAACAUGGGACAUUCACACAACACAAAAGAAGUCUGAGAGACCCACACAGCCAUGCAUCUGAACAUGGAGGUGCUAGACCCCUGGAGGAAGAGGAUGGAGAAAGGAAUUUAGAAGAGAAAGAUCUGAUUCUUUGGCCACAGUUCAAAGACAUGAGAUACAAUUCAGGGGCUGUGAUCGUGAACCUGGACAUCAUGACACAGGUUAAAAGCUGGAGAAGACUGAUUAGUCAGCCCAUGUCUCCUAAGCAUGAUGAAAGCCGAUCAUGUCCUUGGGUACAUACACAAUGGAGCAGUUUCCAGACUAUAGAGAUGGAUUUCAAGCUACCUCUGACCAGUAGUUUUCUUAAAUUCGAUUUUGAAAGUAAAGGAUAGGGACGAAAGCAUCAAGAAAACCAAGUUCCUGAAAGGAUAAGAUGACUCAGAGAAAACAUUAAGAAUGACAAAGUUUAUAAGAAGGCACUGACAUUUGAGGAUAUGAAACAACAACAAAAACCACAAACGAUUUUUCUUUCUGGAAAGAUCAAGGUCAAUAAGAAAUGACAUUUUUAUCUGUCACACUUCACCAGCGGAGGAAUGAGGAAAAGAGCAGGGAGAUAUUGAAGGACUUAAGGUUAAAAGAUCUAUGAAAGAGUGGUCCACUUCUGCUGACCUUGGCCAGUAUGCAGCCCUCUGCUGGAUGGAAGAGUCAGUGCUGCCUGAGAAAAGAGCAGAGGGCUCCGAGGAAGCAAGAACAACGAACAGAUGCCUGAGGAAGAAACCACCAGGAACUCAGACUUUCACUGGCUGCCUAGAAAUGCAAAAGCAAAAAGAAAAUAAAACAGGCAAGAAGAUUUCAUACAAAAGCAAAACUGCACUUGAAAAUGGAAGAAUGUUAACAUAGAACAGACUGCAUCAUUUUUUAUCUCUCAGUCAGUUAUGUUGUAAAAUUGUAAGAUGCUGUUGAAGUAAUUCAAUCAAAUAAAGUAAAAGUAAUAUUGAU